rnacentral:rRNA from 1 species
GACAGAGGGUGCAAACGUUGUUCGGAAUUACUGGGCGUAAAGCGCGUGUAGGCGGCUAUGCAAGUCGGAUGUGAAAGCCCUCGGCUCAACCGGGGAAGUGCACCCGAAACUGCAAAGCUAGAGUCUCGGAGAGGAUCGUGGAAUUCUCGGUGUAGAGGUGAAAUUCGUAGAUAUCGUAAGGAAGACCAGUGGCGAAGGCGGGUCUCUGGACAGUUCCUGACACUGAGGCACGAAGGCCAGGGGAGCAAACGGG